AUGCAAGACUGUAAUCCGGGAAACCAGCUUGAAAGCAUCUGGAUAAGAAUCAAGGGAACCGGGACUCAAAAAGAUCUUGUCGUGGGUGCCUACUACAGACGUCCGAGUCAGGAUGAAGGACUUGAUGAAGCCUUCUGUCAACAGCUGACCAAACAGGCACAAAGAAGAGAUAUAGUAGUCAUGGGCGAUUUCAAUUAUUCCGAUAUCUGCUGGAAAACAAACUCAGCCAAGAGUACAAAGUCCAACAAAUUCCUCACUUGCCUUCCAGACAAUUUUAUGGUCCAGAAGGUAGAAGAGGCAACAAGAGGAUCAGCAACUCUUGAUCUAAUCUUAACAAAUGUGGAAGACCUGAUCAACACAGUUGAAGUGGUUGGAUCCUUAGGGGCAAGUGACCAUGUGCUCCUGGAGUUUGCAAUACAAAGGAAUGCUGAAACUAAGACAAGUCAAACACGCAUUCUCGACUUUAAGAGAGCUGACUUCCAAAAAAUGAAGGAAUUACUGAGCGGCAUUCCAUGGACGCCAAUAUUAAAAAACAAGGGAGUUAAGGAUGGAUGGGAGUUUUUCAAAAGUGAAAUGCUCAAGGAGCAAAUGCAAACAGUGCCAACAAAGAAGAAAAAUAAGACAAGUGCAAAGAAGCCAGAAUGGAUGUCCAAAGAACUUCUAACUGAGCUAAAGCUCAAAAGUGACAUGCACAAGAAAUGGAAAAGGGGAGAAAUCACCAAAGAAGAAUUCAAACGUAUAGCCAACUCCUGUAGGGAAAAGGUUCGCAAGGCUAAAGCGCAAAAUGAGCUCAGGCUUGCCAGGGACAUAAAAAACAACAAAAAAGGCUUUUUUGCUUACGUUGGUAGAAAAAGGAAGAAAAAGGAGGCGAUAGGGCCACUGCAAGGAGUAGAUGGGGUGAUGGUGACAGGGGAUAGGGAAAAGGCAGAACUGCUUAAUGCCUUCUUUGCCUCGGUCUUCUCACAAAAAGAAAGCCAUCUUCAACCUCAGCAACAUGGAAUGGACGAAGGAUUGGGGGAAAUCCAACCCCAAAUAGGGAAACAAGUUGUCCAGGAACACCUGGCCACUCUAAACGAAUUCAAGUCCCCAGGGCCAGAUCAGCUACACCCAAGAGUACUGAAGGAACUAGCGGAAGUUAUUUCAGAACCACUGGCAAUUAUCUUCGAGAGUUCUUGGAGAACGGGAGAAGUCCCAGCAGAUUGGAGGAGGGCGAAUGUGGUCCCUAUCUUCAAGAAGGGAAAAAAGAACGACCCAAACAAUUACCGUCCGGUCAGCCUCACAUCAAUACCAGACCACUUCCUUAAUGAUCUUUUCCAGAAUUUUGCCUGGUAUUGA
rnacentral:lncRNA from 1 species